rnacentral:rRNA from 1 species
GACGGCAGCACAAGAGAGCUUGCUCUCUGGGUGGCGAGUGGCGGACGGGUGAGGAAUGCAUCGGAAUCUGCCCAUUUGUGGGGGAUAACCUCGGGAAACCGGGACUAAUACCGCAUACGACCUACGGGUGAAAGCAGGGGAUCUUCGGACCUUGCGCAGAUGGAUGAGCCGAUGCCGGAUUAGCUAGUUGGAGGGGUAAAGGCCCACCAAGGCGACGAUCCGUAGCUGGUCUGAGAGGAUGAUCAGCCACACUGGGACUGAGACACGGCCCAGACUCCUACGGGAGGCAGCAGUGGGGAAUAUUGGACAAUGGGCGCAAGCCUGAUCCAGCCAUGCCGCGUGUGUGAAGAAGGCCUUCGGGUUGUAAAGCACUUUUGUUGGGAAAGAAAAGCAGCCGGUUAAUACCCGGUUGUCAUGACGGUACCCAAAGAAUAAGCACCGGCUAACUUCGUGCCAGCAGCCGCGGUAAUACGAAGGGUGCAAGCGUUACUCGGAAUUACUGGGCGUAAAGCGUGCGUAGGUGGUUGUUUAAGUCUGAUGUGAAAGCCCUGGGCUCAACCUGGGAAUGGCAUUGGAUACUGGGCAACUGGAGUGCGGUAGAGGGUAGCGGAAUUCCCGGUGUAGCAGUGAAAUGCGUAGAUAUCGGGAGGAACAUCUGUGGCGAACGCGGCUACCUGGACCAGCACUGACACUGAGGCACGAAAGCGUGGGGAGCAAACAGGAUUAGAUACCCUGGUAGUCCACGCCCUAAACGAUGCGAACUGGAUGUUGGGUGCACUUAGGCACUCAGUAUCGAAGCUAACGCGUUAAGUUCGCCGCCUGG